rnacentral:rRNA from 1 species
CAAUAGCGUAUAUUAAAGUUGUUGCAGUUAAAAAAGCUCGUAGUUGAACCUUGGGUCUGGCUGGCCGGUCCGCCUCACCGCGAGUACUGGUCCGGCUGGACCUUUCCUUCUGGGGAACCUCAUGGCCUUCACUGGCUGUGGGGAGACCAGGACUUUUACUGUGAAAAAUUAGAGUGUUCAAAGCAGGCCUUUGCUCGAAUACAUUAGCAUGGAAUAAUAGAAUAGGACGUGUGGUUCUAUUUUGUUGGUUUCUAGGACCGAAGUAAUGAUUAAUAGGGACAGUUGGGGGCAUUAGUAUUUAAUUGUCAGAGGUGAAAUUCUUGGAUUUAUGAAAGACUAACUACUGCGAAAGCAUUUGCCAAGGAUGUUUUCAUUAAUCAAGAACGAAAGUUAGGGGAUCGAAGACGAUUAGAUACCA